GACGAACGCAGGCGGCGUGCUUAACACAUGCAAGUCGAACGGAAAGGCCCUGCUUUUGCGGGGUGCUCGAGUGGCGAACGGGUGAGUAACACGUGAGUAACCUGCCCUUGACUUUGGGAUAACUUCAGGAAACUGGGGCUAAUACCGGAUAGGAGCUCCUGCUGCAUGGUGGGGGUUGGAAAGUUUCGGCGGUUGGGGAUGGACUCGCGGCUUAUCAGCUUGUUGGUGGGGUAGUGGCUUACCAAGGCUUUGACGGGUAGCCGGCCUGAGAGGGUGACCGGGCACAUGGGGACUGAGAUACGGCCCAGACUCCUACGGGAGGCAGCAGUGGGGAAUAUUGCACAAUGGGCGGAAGCCUGAUGCAGCAACGCCGCGUGCGGGAUGACGGCCUUCGGGUUGUAAACCGCUUUCGCCUGUGACGAAGCGUGAGUGACGGUAAUGGGUAAAGAAGCACCGGCUAACUACGUG
rnacentral:rRNA from 1 species